UUCGGAAUUACUGGGCGUAAAGGGCUCGUAGGUGGCCAACUAAGUCAGACGUGAAAUCCCUCGGCUUAACCGGGGAACUGCGUCUGAUACUGGAUGGCUUGAGUUUGGGAGAGGGACGCGGAAUUCCAGGUGUAGCGGUGAAAUGCGUAGAUAUCUGGAGGAACACCGGUGGCGAAGGCGGCGUCCUGGACCAACACUGACACUGAGGAGCGAAAGCCAGGGGAGCAAACGGG
rnacentral:rRNA from 1 species